CCUGGCUCAGGACGAACGCUGGCGGCGUGCUUAACACAUGCAAGUCGAACGCUGAAGCCUGGCUUUUGUUGGGUGGAUGAGUGGCGAACGGGUGAGUAACACGUGAGUAACCUGCCCUCUUCUUUGGGAUAACGCCCGGAAACGGGUGCUAAUACUGGAUAUUCACUGAUCUUCGCAUGGGGGUUGGUGGAAAGGUUUGUUCUGGUGGGGGAUGGGCUCGCGGCCUAUCAGCUUGUUGGUGGGGUGAUGGCCUACCAAGGCUUUGACGGGUAGCCGGCCUGAGAGGGUGACCGGUCACAUUGGGACUGAGAUACGGCCCAGACUCCUACGG
rnacentral:rRNA from 1 species